UACACAUUCACUCAAACAUACACACACACACACACGCACACACAUACACUCAAACAUACAUACAUACACACACACACAUUCACUCAAACAUACACACACACACACACUCUCUCUCUCUCAACUUACAAAACACAACAUACAAGCACAUAAUAUCUCAUGUCCCUCAAUGGACAUGUAAAGGCUCCCUCUCUCACCUGUAGCUCACGCCACAUUCAUGCUCACCACAUGCAUGUGUACGCACGCACACACACACACUGGUAAUGCAUACACACAGUACACUUCACAUACUUUUGUGUGCGCACAGCACACACACCUUAGAAGAAUGAUUGCUUUUUGAAGUACAAAUGAUGUGUUGUGCAUAGAAGCAUCAGACACAUGCUUUUCUGGCAUGUAUUUUGUAUCAUAGGACGGUUCUGGUUGAACUUAAAUCAAUGAUGUGCAAGCAAUGCUUAAAGCAUUGAUGGAAAAAAAGAUAUAAACGUUUUAUCAUUUGAAAUUGCAUAUAUAUAUAUAUAUAUAUAUAUAUAUAUAUAUAUAUUUUAAUUUCAGGUUUUGGGAAAAAAAAAAAAAAAAACGCUAUUGCGUGCCAGUCUUAGUUAAGACCCUGAAAGUGUAAUACCAGAUGCCUAAACCGUAUUGCCAGAUGUUUUCAUAGACAUUACUCUGAAGUACAAUAGUUCUUUAUGCUUUAUGCACCAAUAAUACACAGUAUAACAAACUACAAUACAAAAAAAACAAUGCGUACCAAACAAUAUUAAUGAUUGGCUGGUUUUCAUCAAUAUUACAGUCUAUGGAAACUCUGAACACUAAUGCUUUCUGUAAAUGAAGUGUAAAUAUUAAGAGCUAUAUCAAGGGCUAUUGUCUAACAUGAUUUCUCUGAAGACUUAUCUGUGUGUAUGUGUGUUCUGUAUGUAUGUAUGUAUG